UCUCUCUCGUGAGUCCUCUCUCUCCCUCCCCUUCCGUUCGGCUGGAUUAAUUUCCAUCAGAUCUUGGCAGGUUUCCCAUCUCUCUCUUGGUCUCUUAUUUGGAUUCAAAGCUCUUUGUUUGUAGCUUCCUUGCGAUCCAAAUCCUCGAAAAUCUUCUUAUGCCAUGUCGUCCUGAGAUCUUUUCUUUUUUUCGCCACAAAUCCUUUCACUUUUCUCGAGAAGAAGCGAGGGGAUCAAGAAGUAUGGAUGAGUAUAUUAGAUUUGAUUGCUGUUUUGUCCCUUCCUUGGAUCUUCCUUUCUUCGUUCACAUCUGUGGUGGUUUUACGGGGAGGAGAGGGUGAGAUUUGGGCUGCCCUCCGUUGGAGCUGGGGGGACUGUUAGAUUCCCUCAGUUGGGGCGCUAGACCACCGUCUUUUUCCGGUCCGGCCACUCGCAGACCUCCACGUCAGCCUGCGCUCGUGUUCAUGUGUGGGUGGGGAGUGUGCAUGAAUCUAAGUUUAUAUAAUCCCCCCCCCCCUNUCUCUCCUUGUUAUUCCUGCUUCUGUUUUUUCUUCUAUCUUUGCCAUCUUUUUCUUGAUAUUUCGAUCCAAAUACAUACAAUAUUAUCUAUUUCUGUAUCUACCAUUUUAGUGCUGGGUGUUGUUUAUCUUCAUCGCCCAUCUUUCUCUUUCUCCUAGAAAAAAAAAAAAAAGAAAAAAAAAAUCUUACCUUAAAUAUUAGGUCUCCUUCCUGGGUUUUAUGUUGGCGUUGUUUUUUUGUUCCUUUUUGCUUCUUCGACGAUCUUUGAUUGUUGGAGGCAGUCGAUGUUUGCAGGCGUGGCAUCAUCAAGAUUCACAUUGAUCGAGCUGCUGCAGUCCUGUUCUUAAAUGAGAAUCUUGAUGAUGCUGCAUCGGCAAAUAGGCGACUAUAAUGAUAUGAGAUUCGCCGAGAUUACUUGCUGCUGCUUCUUGGUUGCACUCAUCAACUAAUGAGGAAAGUCAGGUUUUCUCUCUCUUCUAGCACAUUACAUCCAAACAAGGGAAGUGAGAUUCUGUUCUUUUCUCUCCCUUUAUCUUUUUCUCUUGUCUUCCUUGCAUAAAAAAUUACUUGUUUUAGACUUAAACCUGACAAGCGUACAAUUUAUAAUUUUUUUUUCAUAUUGCACCAAAGAAACUUUUAAUUUGAAAAUGAAUUCACAUUGAUCUUGAAUUCUUUCAGCAUUUUUGGUUCAUAUUAAGAUGCUUAGUUUCUGUCUGGAAUAGAAAAAUACAUCAUUGUAAGGAUGGUUCCAAAAUCAUGUGGACCAAACUUUUGGUUCUUUUUCUACCUCUUUGUAUUCAUACUGUUUAUGACUAUCCGUUGCUGGAUUGCAUACAAAUCGAAGACACGCUUUGAAUCUACAAGUCUUAGAACAUUUAUAUGUGGCAGGUCCUUUUUAUAGAACUUUAUUGGACUGCCUUUGAGAUCCAAUUUGCUUGUUAUUGAGCAUUAACUUGUAAGAAUUCUUCUAACUAUAUAAGCCAUUUGUCCCGGCCCCCAUGGAAGUCAUUCGGUCUCUACAUAAGAAAUAAAAAUAGUUGAUCUCAAUGAAAUUUGAAUCUGAAGUACAAUAUGGCAAGAAUUGGAUGGAGCCGAGCUAUUAAAUCAAUCCUUAAAUAAAAAAGAGUUAUUUCAGUCCCUAGUAUGGUAUGUUUUGAUGAGUCUCUAAUAUAAUUGUACGCAGAUUAGGUGAGAAUGGUACAUUCUAUAACUGAAAAGCUCUAUAAAGAGAAUGACUUUUGAGUAGAGCUUUUGACACGGAACUGCCCUUGCAGACAUGGAAUGGUAGCUAAAAGCGCAUGUCAAAAGCAUUUGAAUCAACAUUUACCACCUAUCACUGAUGCAAGUGGACCUCCCAUGGGGUACCACUUGCAAGUUGCUACUUUCAAAGUGGACCAUCCUCAAGGACAUUCCUCAGUGAAGUGUCUGGAAAAGUGCCUCUCUCCUCACCUCUGAAAUUUGCUACACUUAGCAUGACUGUAUAUAUACACGGUGAUACAAAAUAUUUAUGUUUCUAUAGGUACAUAAUUCAUUUCACUUCUCUCUUCCUAUAAUUGUAGAACAUGCAUUUAAACGACCACUCUUAUAAAGGUACAUACUCUCUCUCUCUCUCUCACACACACACACACACACACACACACGUGUGUGUGCCUGCACGUAUGUACAAAACACAAAAUUGCAUGUGAACAUUAGCGUACUUUUGUCAUAAGCAUGAACAAAACAUUGCCUCUUCACCGACAUAUAUUCACCAUUUAACUGUCAAAAUAGAUUUUUUCAUUUAUGUAACUAGAAACAUCCUAAAGAUUAGUAUCUGUAGAGGUUGACGCUUCUGAUGUAACAUGACAUUUUCUAUAUAUUGUUGGCUGAUCUUCCCUGGCAAACCUUUCUUUUAUCUUUCUCCUUUUUUCCAAGUACUUAAGUUCCACUUUCCUCUUUGCUGUCAGCAAGCAUGCUUCCAUUGUGGCACCCAUAUUUGUUUAGUUUCUUAGAUUGGCAUGUCAAAGAAAUCUUGAUGCAAGGACACCAUGCGAGGCCAGCAAGUGUGUUCUAUCAAACAACCAAAAUAUAAGGCUUCAUCAUCAAAGUAGGUCAGAGCACUUAAAAGCAGAUUAAUCGAUGCAACCAACUGCUGUACUACCAUGCACUGAUUUCUUAUUGGCAUGUGGGAUCCAGAUAGCAUGCAUGGUUCAUGCAGUUAGACAUUCAGUCAAAUGACCAACCAUGGAGCGAAUGCCUUUGAAGGAUGAUAAGGAAGUGGGGAAUGCCUUUAUCUUUGAUAUUGGCCACCAUCAACUUUUCUCUCAAGGCAUAGAUGAUUUGAAGGUCAUGAUCUAUUUUUUCUCUGAUGUAUAUGUCCACAAAUUCUAAUCAUGUGAUGGUUCCCAACUUUAUUAAGAGGUUGAAUUCUGAGGUUUCUGAAGGUUAAAAAA